GAUGAAGAACGUAGCGAAAUGCGAUAAGUAAUGCGAAUUGCAGAAUCCGUGAGUCAUCGAAUCUUUGAACGCACAUUGCGCCCCUUGGUUAUUCCGAAGGGCAUGCCUGUUCGAGCGUCAUUAUCACCCCUCAAGCUCUCGCUUGGUAUUGGGGUUCGCGGUUUCGCGGCCCCUAAAAUCAGUGGCGGUGCCUGUCGGCUCUACGCGUAGUAAUACUCCUCGCGAUUGAGUCCGGUAGGUCUACUUGCCAGCAACCCCUAAUUUUUUUAAGGUUGACCUCGGAUCAGGUAGGGAUACCCGCUGAACUUAAGCAUAUCAAUAAGCGGAGGA
rnacentral:misc_RNA from 1 species